ACAAGUACCGUGAGGGAAAGUUGCAAAGCACUUUGAAGAGAGAGUUAAACAGGACGUGAAACCGAUGAGGUGGAAACGGACAGAGUCGGCGUAUCUAGCCUGUAUUCAACUGAAGACCCAAGCACAUAGGGUAGUCCUUUUCCAGAUUGGACAGGUGAUCCAACUGUGUGGGGGUCUACAGUGCAUUUGCAGGUGAAGUGCGCUGAGGUGGUCGGGUUAGCGGUGCGAUCUCGGGUUUGAGGCUAGCCCCUCGGGGUAUGGUACCCGGCUCGGGGGAGUGCUGUUUAGCCUGUUCAACUUGUAUGGAAAUGGUCUCGGGUCCGGCUGGUAUCCAGCUAGCAACUUGUGGCGGUCGCAUGCGACACGUGCUGGUGGUUGGUUGGGUCCUGGUCUGCCUCCCAUGUUUUCCAAUCCUCGGUGUAAAAACCGGUCAUCUGUCCGACCCGUCUUGAAACACGGACCAAGGAGUUUAGCGUGUGCGCGAGUCAUUGGGUGUUGGAAACUCAAAGGCGCAAUGAAAGUGAAGGUCUCUCUUGUGGAGCUGAUGUGUGACCCGGAUCACCGAGGUGGCCCGGAGCAACAUGGUCCCGUCCUGAUCACUUGCGAUGGGGCGGAGACAGAGCGUACGCGCUGAGACCCGAAAGAUGGUGAACUAUUCCUGAGCAGGACGAAGCCAGAGGAAACUCUGGUGGAAGUCCGAAGCGAUUCUGACGUGCAAAUCGAUCGUCUGACUUGGGUAUAGGGGCGAAAGACUAAUCGAACCAUCUAGUAGCUGGUUCCUUCCGA
rnacentral:rRNA from 1 species